GGACAUCUUGCAAGCUACGUAUCAGUUUCUCCAAUAUCGGUGGACUGAUAACAUGUUUGUACGCCAAUUGAAGAGGUCCAUAAAUGUCAUGCCUCCUUCAUGUUCUCCUGUGAUCAUUAGAAGAUUAACAUAGAAAUAUGUACCUAAAUCAUGGUUGUUCUUGGCCGAGAACUUGAGAUGUUUGAGGCCUUUUUAGGCUGAUCCAAUGCGAAGUAUUGCUUUACUUCCUCUAUAAAGUGUGCCUCAGCAUGGCCAGCUUUGAGGCAAGCUUCCAUCUCUUGUGUAUAGCAUCUAAGUGUAAGGAGAGGGCUCCUUGUAGGUGGCGUAGCCUGGCUUUUUUGCAGAUAGUGUUGUAAGUCUUUUGCGCAGAAAAACGCCAGGAGCAUAGACACAUGCAAUGACAUCGGAAAUGGAAAACUCAGAGGCAUUUUUGAGUUUCUUUAAGUAAACGGAGUUGUGUUUUGGCUUGUUGGCGAGACGUGCCGAGGCUCUGCGUUGGAAAGUCAUUAUUCUUGAUGUUUAUGUAUUAUAGAUGGUGAUGAUAAUUGUGAAAUAGAACAUUGUUUAUAUAGGUGGAGGAUAGGGGUCUCCAUGUAAGUGUAGAUGCGAGUUAAUGGCUUUGUGAAGAUGCAGUCGUACGUGUAUAUACGUUAUAACAAUAUGUUUCAUAAUUAUAUUUUAGUUAACUCUUUAUGAUCAGAGAUUCUAACUCUUCCUUCGAUUAAAAACAAUCCAUAUGAUCUAACAUUAUACAGAAGAAGAAACAGACCAGAUACGUUGUUACUAUGUAGUGGAGAGAGAGAGAGAACUGAAAGUUAAGAUUAUGGGGCAAAAAUAUAUCGUUUAUUUAGUGUGGGGUCCGAAAUACAAAGAAAAGCAAAUCCCAAAUUUCUCAAAAAAAAUGGGCGUCGUUUUGAGUUUCCAAUUUUAACAAAAUGCACGUUGUUUUAUUUUUGAAACAAACGUUUUCCUUUCUCCUCAAACUGCAAUAAAAAAAUCCAUGAAACGACGUCAUUUAAUAAAGAGCUCUUCUGAAGUCGUCAUCACCAGAUCUAUCCUCUUCCAAUUUUCCCAGACAAAUUCAAAAGCAUCAAUAGCCCUGGAGAUUAUUGGUCGUCACGCUCUCUUUUUCGAUGGCUACCUUUGUAAACUCCCCGACAGCGCUUGUUAACUGGAACAGCCACCGGUACGAUGUUCUUCACCUCCUCUCUUCUCUUCCACCUCCGCGUAUGAAGCGCGGCUGUUUGGUUUCAGACGACCCCGACUUAGAAUCGGACCUCAAUCACGUGCGCUAACUUGAUUUACCGGCGGAAUCUCUAUCUCUUUCGCAUGAUGACAGAGAUAGAGAAAGGAAGCUCAGACAUCAUGUGGCGCCAUCGCAGGAACAAAAGAGACGGUCUGCGAUUCUUCAAUUGAGAUUAGGGUUAGAGCGAGAACCACAUCUAUCCAGGCCGGAUAAAGGGACCAAACUCAUAGCCCAACACACGAUAAAUGAAGAAAGCCCAUCUCGACGUGUAUCUAAAUGAAACACCGAGUUUCAUUAAUCGGCGACACGUGUUGCGAUGAGGAGCGACGACUUAUCUAGCUGGUGGUGACGUUGAGACACCAGGAUUGAGGGAACUGUACUUUAUAUAUAAAGAUUAUGGAGAAAAUAAUUUGAUAUUCAUUUAAAAUACAUGUCAAACUUUUUGUUUCAUGUAUUAAUAAAAAUUACAUUUAAAGUUAAAAA